GAUGAACGCUAGCGGGAGGCCUAACACAUGCAAGCCGAGCGGUAUUGUUUCUUCGGAAAUGAGAGAGCGGCGUACGGGUGCGUAACACGUGUGCAACCUGCCUUUAUCUGGGGGAUAGCCUUUCGAAAGGAAGAUUAAUACUCCAUAAUAUAUUGAACGGCAUCGUUUAAUAUUGAAAGCUCCGGCGGAUAGAGAUGGGCACACGCAAGAUUAGCUAGUUGGUGAGGUAACGGCUCACCAAGGCGAUGAUCUUUAGGGGGCCUGAGAGGGUGAUCCCCCACACUGGUACUGAGACACGGACCAGACGCCUACGGGAGGCAGCAGUGAGGAAUAUUGGUCAAUGGGUGCAAGCCUGAACCAGCCAUCCCGCGUGAAGGACGACUGCCCUAUGGGUUGUAAACUUCUUUUGUAUAGGGAUAAACCUACCCUCGAGAGGGUAGCUGAAGGUACUAUACGAAUAAGCACCGGCUAACUCCGUG
rnacentral:rRNA from 1 species